UACAGAGGUCCCAAGCGUUGUUCGGAUUUACUGGGCGUAAAGGGCGCGUAGGCGGUGCGUUAAGUUAGGCGUGAAAGCCCUGGGCUCAACCCGGGAACUGCGCUUGAUACUGGCGCGCUUGAAUCCAGGAGAGGUUGGUGGAAUUCCCAGUGUAGAGGUGAAAUUCGUAGAGAUUGGGAAGAACACCGGUGGCGAAGGCGGCCAACUGGACUGGUAUUGACGCUGAGGCGCGAAAGCGUGGGGAGCAAACAGG
rnacentral:rRNA from 1 species